rnacentral:lncRNA from 1 species
CACAGGUGAGAGAGUUUGAGUGCACAGGUGUGCGUGCGUGUGAGCGUGCGUGCGUGCGUGCGAGAAGGUCAGAGUGCGCCGCGUGUCCGUGAGUGAAAGUGCGCGUUUUUGUGUUCAGAUGGAGGACGCCCCCAGCUCCCAGAAGAGCGGGCGACUUUCUUCCUCUCACGACUUGGGGAGAGGAGGAGGAGGACCGUUUCCGACGUGGACAGGUUUCGACGUCUUAGGGGUCCAGGUAAAGGCGAUUCAAUUAUGGGAUAUGAGGCUGGUCAGGAAGCAUGAGAGCCUGCACCAUCCUGCAGGCCACAGAGACCUUCGGUGGACAGUUCUGAAUGGGAUAAAGCCUGCAGGCCAGUACUCCCAUGAGAGCUCUUCUCCCACAGGUGAGAUCUGCCUGGCAUGUCAACCAUCCAGGAGGACAGUCUGCAACACGUAUCACCUGAGGUGAGGGUGGAGGUGAGGUUCAGUGGCUAAAAGAACAGCUUUUUGAGGAGUUCCCAUCAUGGCACAGUGGAAACGAAUCCAACUAGGAACGAUGAGGUUGCUGGUUUGAUCCCUGGCCUCGCUCAGUGGGUUAAGGAUCUGGUGUUGCUGUGGCUGUGGUGUAGGCCAGCAGCUGUAGUUCCGAUUUGACCCAUAGCCUGGGAACAUCUAUAUGCCGCGCGUGUGGCCCUAAAAAGACAAAAGACAAAAAAUAACAAAACAAACAAACAAAAAACAGCUGUUUGAGACAGCCAUGCUCAAGGCUGGGGGGAUGGCACAGAGAGGGUGCAGUCCUGGGAAGGGGAGGGUAAGGUGAGGCAGGUCAGAGAAGGUCAAGGCAGCCUGUGGCCCCCACUCCCGGGUCUAAGACCCAGCCCCUACAUUUACCAGGCUCUGGGCUGCCAGUGAGGAGCUAAGGUGGCCGCAGACAAUACCUUGCCCAGAGCUGUGGCCUGGGGUGGGAGGGAAGCCUAGUUCCUUCCAGCACAAAGUGUUCAGGAAGAACUCAGCCUAGGUCCAGCCAGGCCUUUUCGAGGUGCAAUCGACCUGAUAGCCAGGCUAAUGGGACCCUCUGGGCAUCAAGUCCAGGGCGGGGUUGCCUGUAAGCAAGAGUCUCAGGCGCUUCGUCAGCAGGCUGCCUCAUGCAAUAUGUAACAGUGCAUUAACCUGCACUCCCAGGAUGGAGCCAGUGCGGCAGAAUCUGCUGCUACUUGGAAGAAGAGGCACAAGAAUGGGCCUAGGUGGUUCCACGCAGUACCAGGAGGGGGGCAGGAGGUCUGGAUACCACAGCAGAGCCUGUAGGUCCUUUCCUUCCUGCUGCACCCCCCCACCCCCUGCUUCCAUUUGUGCAGAUGAGGUGGGCAGGAAACCUGGCAUUUACACCACGUCACCCCAGCCUCCCCUGAGUGGGACAUUGGUAACUGCUUGCAGCCCCCACCUCCCUUCCAAGCCCAGAUGACUCCUCAGGAUUUUCUUUCUUUUUUCUCUUUUUUUAAAUAGUUAUUUCCCCAAUACAAUUUUUUUUCCUACUGUACAGCAUGGUGACCCAGUUACACAUAUAUGUACACAUUCUAUUUUCACACAUUAUCAUGCUCCAUCUUAAGUGACUAGACAUAGUUCCCAGUGCUACACAGCAGGAUCUCAUUGCUAAUCCAUUCCAAAGGUAAUAGUUUUUAUCUAUUAACCCCAAGCUCCCCAACCACCCUACUCUCUCCUCCUCCCCCUUGGCAACCACAAGUCUAUUCUGCAAGUCCAUAAUUUUAUUUUCUGUGGAAAAGUUCAUUUGUGCCUUAUAUUAGAUUCCAGAUAUAAGUGAUAUCAUAUGGUAUUUGUCUUUUUCUUUCUUCACUCAGUAUGAGAGUCUCUAGUUCCAUCCAUGUUGCUGCAAAUGGCAUUAUUUUGUUCUUUUUUAUGGCUGAGUAGUAUUCCAUUGUGUAUAUAUACCACAUCUUCCGAAUCCAAUC